AGGGAUUAUAAUUUUUUUACUUUUCAAUAGGAUACAUCCACUGAUAAUAUAUCGAUCCGAUCAAAAGAGCAUCUUUUGGGAGAUGAAUAGCCAGAUGCACCAUAAUAUCAAAAAAUGAUGAUGAAAAAAUUUUUUCUAACUCACAAAGAAUGAGCACAAUAUCUUCCUCAAACUUCUUAAGUUAAUCUUUAAUUUUCAACAACACGAUUCUCGAAAGAAUACUUCCAACUCAAUCAAUGCAGCUUGAACAUUACUACUCAGAUAGCCACGC
rnacentral:lncRNA from 1 species